rnacentral:tRNA from 1 species
GGACGCUUAGCUCAGUUGGUAGAGCAGCUGACUCUUAAUCAGCGGGUCGGGGGUUCGAGUCCCCCAGCGUCUA